CUCAUCUCACAGUGCCCGUGUUCACAGAAGUGGGCGUAGUCUUCUGGACAGGGGGCGGGGCUGUCCACAACCCCCUCCCCCUUGCCGGGCUUGGACACAGCUGGAAAGACAGAGGAAGGAGACGGUGCGUUAUGAUUGGCUGUUGGAGAAGGUGAAAGCAGAACCUUCAAAGACCGUCGCCUCCUGCAGCGUUACAGCUCCAGGUAGAAAUAAUCGGAGCACUAAUCAUAAUAUACAAGGCAGACAAAGUGUUCUAUAAAGUCAUGUUUAAUAAUUAAAGAUAUAAAAUGUAAAUGAAGUGAUGAUAUGAAGUCAUCAGUCAGUUAAUGGAUAAUCUGAGGUCAGUGAUUGGAGGAUAAAGACUCCUGGAUCUGGAAGGUCCAGUCUCUGGUGGAUCAGAACUCCUGGAUAGAACUACACCAUGAAGACUGAAGAACCAAGAAACUCUGAGGAAAGGUUGUUGAAAAGUAUCAGUCAGGACGAUACAAGAACAUUUAAAGUUCCUGAAGAUCUCCUGGAGUCCAGUUAAAUCCAUCGUUAAGAAAUAGAAGGAAGAUGGAACAUGAAUAAAUCUGACUAGAGCAGGACGUCCUCAAGAACUGAGAGACUAGAGAGGGAGGCCACCAAGACUCCUAUGACUCCUCUGAAGGAGAAAGAGACUAGAGAGGGAGGCCACCAAGACUCCUAUGACUCCUCUGAAGGAGAAAGAGACUAGAGAGGGAGGCCACCAAGACUCCUAUGACUCCUCUGAAGGAGAAAGAGACUAGAGAGGGAGGCCACCAAGACUCCUAUGACUCCUCUGAAGGAGAAAGAGACUAGAGAGGGAGGCCACCAAGACUCCUAUGACUCCUCUGAAGGAGAAAGAGACUAGAGAGGGAGGCCACCAAGACUCCUAUGACUCCUCUGAAGGAGAAAGAGACUAGAGAGGGAGGCCACCAAGACUCCUAUGACUCCUCUGAAGGAGUUAGUAGAAGACCAAAAAAGACAGAAGAAGACAGAAGAAGAGGGAAGAAGCUAAAGACAGAAGAAGACUGAAGAUGGAAAAAGACUGAAGAAGAUGGAAAAAAACUAAAGCCGGAAGAAGACUGACGACAAAAGAAGACUGAAGACGACAGAUGACGACAGAAGAAGGCAGAAGAAGAUUGAAGAAAACAGAAGAAGACUAAAGCAGAUGGAAGAAGACAGAAGAAGAUGGAAGACAGAAGAAGACCGAGGUCCAGCAGGGAUGUGAAGCUUCCAGAGGCUUCGUGACACAAACAUCUCCAUCGUUCCCACUAAGAGUUUCCUUUGGAUGAAAAUGUGAAUAAAAACCAGUGGAAUGAGAACUAAGCGAUGGAGGAGGAUAAUAAAAAAUGGAGAGCAGGAGGUCGCCAUGUUAACGUGUGUGUGUGUGUGUGUGUGUGUGUGUGUGUGUGUGUGUGUGUGUGUGUGUGUGUGUGUGUGUGUGUGUGUGUGUGUGUGUGUGUGUGUUUGUGUUUGUGUUUGUGUUUGUGUUUGUGUUUGUGUUUGUGUGUGCGUGUGCGUGUGCGUGUGUGUCGGUCCUCACAGCAGCAGGAAGUCCAGUGUGUGUUCAGAUUGAGGUCAGGUCAUCAUUCAAUAUAGAUGAGCUGAAACCUUGUUGUUUUUCUACCUUCAGCCAUCGUUCCUCUGCUUCCUUUUCAAGUUCUUUUGUUUCAAUCAUCUUUCUUUUGCCUCCUUCGUCUUUCUGCCUCCUCUCUUUCCCUUCUGUCCUCCUCCAUCAUUGUUUUUUUCCUCUUCCUUUCCUUCCCCUCUUUCCUCUACGAAUGAGUUCUCCAGGUGUUCUGGUGGAUUGGUUGGUCGAUAUGCUCUCGUCAGUAAAAAAUCCACAAAAAGAUGCAAAAUCACCACAAAAAGAUGUGAAAUCACCCCAGAAAAGUGUAAAAUCACAACGAAAAGGAGCAAAAUCCCCUAAAAAUAGAAGCGAGAUCAUCUUCAUUUUCACUGAUAAACUGAUUUUACCAUGAUGGGUGCAAAACUGCGACUAGAAGAUCUUAAAUUAGGACAAACAUAACAGAAAGCCACCAAAAAAUGUUUUGAAAACAAGCAAAAUUGCCCAAAAAAGGUCUUGAAAUGUCAGUUCUAAGUUCUGUGGAGCACCAUUUAAGGAACCAUUUCUGGACGUUCUCUGAUGCACCAUUGGGGGUUCUUGAAAGAACCGUCUGAAGACCUGGUUCUUCAGUGAAAUCCUGCUAAAAGGUUCUGUGUGGAGCUAAAAGCGGUUCACCGUUAGCGCUUUUACAUUGGGAAUGUUUUGCGUUGUUACCUUGGCAACGGCCCACGUGCUUGAUGUCGAUCUUGAGCUGCUUGAGGCAGGAUGCCUCACGGACAUGGCACGGCGUGUCGUAGGUGACACCGUCGCUGCCGCACACCGGGUUGUCGUUGUGGCCAUUACACACGAUGUUACACAUGCAGCUGGAUACACAAAAAACACACAAUUAACAUCACAAACACAGAAUAAGUGUGUGUCUUUUUACAGGAAUAAACAAUAUGGAGGUUCUCCAACAGUUCCAGUUAAUAAUAGAGGAACAUUAAGACGAACCAGCAGGUAAAAAUGCUUCUCAGUACUGGACAGAUGUAAUGACGCAUAUUAGACCGAUAACAUGCAUAGAAUUAGAUUUUAACUUUGAUGUCACUCAUGUUCUUCACUGACAAAACGUGAUAUCUACUAUAAAUACUACUAGCAGAGGUUAAAAAAGCAAUAACUAAACAAUAGCCGAGUAAAGAUUUCCCAGAAGAUGGAAGAAGACGGAUGAAGACCAGAGAAGACUGAAGAAGAUGAAACAAGACUGAACAAGCUGGAAGAAGACUGAAGAAGACAGAUGAUGACCAGAGAAGAUGGAAGAAGGCUGAAGAAGACCAAAGAAAACUGAAGAAGACCAAAGAAGACGGAUGAUGACCAGAGAAGACGGAAGAAGAUUAAAGAAGAUGGAAGAAGACUGAAGAAGACUGAAGAAGACGGAUGAUGACCAGAGGAGACGGAAGAACAGCAGAGAAGAUGAAAGAAGAUUAAAGAAGACUGAAGAAGACCAGAGAAGAUCGAAGAAGACCAAAUAAGACGGAAGAAGAUUAAAGAAGACUAAAGAAGACCAAAGACGGAUGAUGACCAGAGAAGACUGAAGAAGACCAAAGAAGAUGGAAGAAGACCAAAGACGGAAGAAGAUGAAAAAAGACGGAAGAAGAUGGAAGACGGAUGACGAUCGAAGAAGACGGAAGAACAUUAAAGAAGACAGAAGAUGAUGGAAGAAGACCAAAGAACACCAAAGAAGAUGGAUGAAGACAGAAGAAGACUGAGACCCAGCAGGGAUGUGAAGCUUCCAGAGGCUUCGUAACACAAACAUCUCCAUCGUUCCCACUGAGAGUUUCCUUUGGAUGAAAAUGUGAAUAAAAACCAAUGGAAUGAGUUUUUCAACUUUCCGACGGCCCUGGAUCCUGUCAUGUGUGAUGCGUUCUGUAGGUUUCAUCUGAAUCUGUCCAGUUUACAUACAUUUCGAGUCAUUUUGACAAAUUUUUGAACAAAGUUUGAGUUAUUUAGACAUUCUAGAGUCCUUUGGGCACAUUUUAAAUCAGAUGGACACAUUACCAAGUCAUUUUGGACAAAUCUUAAGUCACUUUUGACAAAUUGUGAGUAAUUUUAACAAUUUCAAGUUGUAUUGAACAAAUGUGAAGUCAUUUUGGACAACAGCAGUCUGGUGUCUCUGGGAUUGUUUCACCUUCGGUCCAGAUUUUCAACCUGGCCUCAGGACACUGGUGGUCUAGGAUCUAGAACAGUACGUUGUGUGUAUCUUGUGUUUUAUGCUGUUAGAGUCAUAGCUGAUUUCCUGUCUUUCUUUACAUGUCGUGGAAACAAACCGAGGAACAAACGCUGGCUAAACCCAGAACUCACAGAACGUCCUCAGAGUCUUCAUCACACUCGGCUCCAAACUUGCAGUUUCCACAUUUCGAGGUCUUUUUUCCACGACCGGAGCCUUCGCCAUCUGAAACAAGGCAUGGGGUCAGUGCAGCUCCUCCUCACUGAUCCACACAUCACUGAGCGAGCAGAAGAAGCUCUUACCUCCAUCUCCAGAUCCUGAGCUGCCGUCUGAAGGACAAACACAAGUUCUCAUUAGAAACACAUCUGCUGCACAAAAUGAACCUCAGUCCACAAAAGCUUCAGGUUACUAACUACAGGUUAAAUUCAGGCUCCACAGCAGGAACUCAGUGGAACUAAAGUGAGGUUAUUGGUUCCUCCUUCAGUCCUCCUCAGCAUGGAGGAAACCAGAGUCCACUCAUUUCUUCUCUGUGUUCUUCAGCUGCUCUUUGCUGGAGGGGUUCUGUUGCUCUACCUUUCUCUGGAGAACACCUCAAAGGUUCUGCUGGCUUCAGGACUCACACUGUCCAGGUCCUGGUUCCACUUGGUUCUAGUGGAGAAGCUCUGAUUUGAUGUUGUUCUCUGGAUGUUCUCCUGCUGGAACGUUCCUCUUCUUCAUCUGGUCAGCCAGGAUUCUGGUUCCUCCUCAGACCUUCAUGCUGCUUCUAGAAAUGUCUUCAACACCUUCUGACCUCAUGCAGCCCCAGAUCAUCACACUCCCACCUCCGUGCUUCACUGUCAGGACUCUGCAUCCACUGUGGUAGUCCUGGUCAGGUUCUCACCAAACAUCUGGACUCCAUCUGAGCCCAACUCAUUGAUCUUCGUCUGACCAAAGAAUGUUCUCCAGCAUCCAUCAGGCUUCUUCUCAUGUUCUUCAGCAAACUUUCAUCUGGAAGUUUAGUUCUGAGCAGCAACCAGGUUUAGUUCUGGUCCUCCGUCCAUAGAGGUUGAUGUUCUGAAGGUUCCUUCACACUGUCUGAGCUUCACACUAACUCUGGUUUCCAUGGAGAACCCCUGAGCCAAGUCUGAAGCAGCUGCCGUCUGUUUUUACAGCUGGAUGGAGGAAGUAGUUCACCGUCUGUGGAGUCAUUUUUGGAGCUCUGAUUAGUGGAACUAUGACUCCUUCUAGACCUCCUGAUUAGUGGAAUUAUGACUCCUUCUAGACCUCCUGAUUAGUGGAACUAUGACUCCUUCUAGACCUCCUGAUUAGUGGAACUGUGACUCCUUCUAGACCUCCUGAUUAGUGGAACGAUGACUCCUUCUAGACCUCCUGAUUAGUGGAACUAUGACUCCUUCUAGACCUUCUGAUUAGUGGAACUAUGACUCCUUCUAGACCUCCUGAUUAGUGGAACUAUGACACAGAGGUGUGUGAGUACAUAUACAGGUGUGAGCGUUACCAUGGUAACAGGGUCCCUCGGAUACGAUGGUGAUGGCUCUCUGCUUCUUGCAGGCCGCCCUCCUCAGGAAACACUCGUUCUGAUACGUAUCUCCGUUGGAGCCGCACACAGGAACGUACUUCUUAUGGCACUGAAACACCAGAUUAUUAUGGAAUAUUAUUAUUAAUAAUAACAGUAAUAAUAAUAUAUCAUUUACCUGUGUGUGUGUGUGUGUGUGUGUGUGUGUGUGUGUGUGUGUGUGUGUGUGUGUGUGUGUGUGUGUGUGUGUGUGUGUGUGUGUGUGUGUGUGUGUGUUACUUACGUGGAACUGACACACACACUUGAUGUCGCCUCCGUUCUCUCUACAGUUUCCUCCAAAUCGACACGUUCCAGCGUCACAGACUCUCAGGUCGCUUUUCUUCUCCGACAGAUCUGGAACCAGCAGAACACCGGAGUCAGAACUGGGUCCAAUCAGAACCAGGUCCAAUCAGAACCGGGUCCACUCAGAACCAGGUCAGCUCAGAGCCGGGUCCAAUCAGAACCGGGUCAGCUAAGAACCAGGUCCAAUCAGAACCGGGUCCUCUCAGAACCGGGUCAGCUCAGAGCCGGUUCCAAUCAGAACCGGGUCCAAUCAGAACCAGGUCAGCUCAGAGCUGGGUCCAAUCAGAACCGGGUCAGCUCAGAGCUGGGUCCAAUCAGAACCGGGUCAGCUAAGAACCAAGUCCAAUCAGAACCAGGUCCAAUCAGAACCGGGUCAGCUAAGAACCAAGUCCAAUCAGAACCAGGUCCAAUCAGAACCGGGUCAGCUUAGAGCCGGGUCCAAUCAGAACCAGGUCCAAUCAGAACUGUGUCAGCUCAUAGCCGGGUCCAAUCAGAACCAGGUCCAAUCAAAACCAAGUCCACUCAGAACCGGGUCAGCUCAGAGCCGGGUCUAGACAUAACAUUACACAAGCGAGACAUUAAAUAACAAAAAAAACCCACACAAAUGGGACACGAGAAAACUAGACAGAAAAUUACAAAAACGAGACACAACUAAAGAAAGCAGACUAAACUGGCCCAAAGAAAACGAGCAACACACAAACCAACACAAACAAGUCCGAUAACUACAAAAAUAAGACACAAAAACACACAAAUGAGGCGCAAAAUGAGAAAACGAGACAUAAAACUACACAAACGACAUACAAAAUGACACAAACGAGACGAAACGAACAAAACUGUCCCAAAGAAACACAAAAUGACACAAGUUAAACAUAACAAAACACAAAACAACAAAAACUACACACAAAAGAGACACAAAACAACACAAGAUGCAAAGCAACACAAAUGAGACACAAAAUGAGAAAAACAAGCCACAAAAUUACAAACGCAGAACCGGGUCAACUCAGAAUCGAGUCCCGAAUUUUGUCUCCUUUGUAUCAUUUUUGUAAUUUUUCAGUCUCAUUUUCUUAUUUCGUGUUUCAUUUGUGUUGGUUUGCAUCUGUUUUUUGUCAUUUAUUGUCUUGUUUGUGUAGUUUUGUGUUUUGUUUUGUUAAUUUCAGCCUUGUUUGUGUCAUUUUAUGUCUCUCAAAUUUUCUGUGUUUCUCAUUUUGUGUCUCUUGUGCUGGUUUGUGUGUUGCUCGUUUCCCUUGGGGCAGUUUAAUCGCCUUUCUUCAGUUGUGUCUCAUUUGUGUGUUUUUGUGUUUCAUUUUGUUCAUUUCGGCCUUGUUUGUGUCAUUUUGUGUCUCAUUGUAAUUUUCUAUCUUGUGUCUCAUUUGUGUGUUUUUGUCUUAUUUUUUUUAGUUAUCGAUCUCAUUUGUGUUAUUUCGUAUCUCAUUUUCUCAUUUUGUUUCUCAUUUAUGUUGUUUUGCACCUUUUUGUGUUGUUUUGUGUCUUGUGUGUGUAGUUUUUGUUGUUUUAUGUUUUUUUAAUGUUUACUCUGUAUCAUUUUGUGUUUCUUUGGGACAGUUUUGUUCGUUUCGCAUCGUUUGUGUCAUUUCCUGUCUCGUUUUUGUAAUUUUCCCUCUCUCGUUUUCUCAUUUUGUGUCUUGUUUGUGUCUUUUUGUGCUUCAUUUUGUUCAUUUCGGCCUUGUUGGUGUCCUUUUUCUUUGUCAUUGUUGUAAUUUUCUGUCUCGUUUUCUCAUUUUGCAUCUCAUUUGUGUUGUUUCGUUUGUUGCUUGUAUUGUGUUGUUUCCUUUGGGACAGUCUCAUCUCCUUUGUGCGGUUUUGUGUAGUUCUGAGUGAGAUGUUGUGUUUGGUGUGUUGUUGUGUCUCCUCCUAAACAUAGAAAGGAAUAAACCGAGCAGCUGGAGUGACAUUUCCUCAUCCUGAAGCUUCAGGAGGAACCAAACGGAUCCUGAUGAGAUUCUUUCUGCUCCACAAAGCAUCUGACGCCAUGACGACAGGAACCCACUCACUAGUUCCACUUCACCAUCGUCUUCAUCAUUAUCAUCAUCAUCAUUAUUAUUAUUAUUGUUGUUGUUGUUAUUAUUAUUAUUAUUAUUAUUAUUAUUAUUAUUAUUAUUAUUAAGCAGUUGGUUCUCUGCGGUCUUUAACUUACAGAAUAUCAUCUCAUGUGGAGCUCAGAAACUAGUCCUCUGAUUGGUCGUUGUUUCAUCCCCUCUCUCUCUCUCUCUCUCUCUCUCUCUCUCUCUCUCUCUCUCUCUCUCUCUCUCUCUCGCUCUCUCUCUCUCUCUAUGUCGGUCUACCUCGCUCACCCUCUCAUGCUCUGAUGACCUCAUCGUCUCGCUACUCAUUUCCCAUCAUCGUCCACGCAUCGCCGAGACGAUGAGGAGCCAUGCCACCCGUCAGUGUUUGAGAUCAUCAACCCGAGACGACACGUCUUCCAGCCCGUUGUGCCCCGCGGGCAGAAGUAAUUACCCCCUGAGCCACCAGACCACCAACUGGACGCCUCUGGAGACCUGAAAGGUCAGUUCCUGAUCUAACGGAAGAAGAAGGCUGAAGAUGACUGAAGACUGAAGAAGACCAAAGAAGACAAAAGAAGACGGAGGAAGACAGAACUUUGGAGGAAUAAACCUCCUAAAUUAAAAUUAUUUUCGACAGAAUUAAGUGUUUUAUGUAAAAUAAACCUUAGGAACUACAAGCAUUUGGGCAGAAAGUGUAGAUUAAUCCCAGUAUUUCAGCUUCUUUAAUUUGAAGAUUUCCUGCUUCCUUCCUCUCUGACAGUAAACUGAACAUCUCUGAUCCAUGUUUUACUAUUUUCUGACAUUUCAGAAGCAAACAGCUGAAGUACUGAUCCGGAUAAUAAACUAGUCUGAGUUCUAGAAGGAACCCUCAUCAUUAAAUCCAGCAGCUUUAGGAAUAGAUUCUCCUCUGGACUGAUGAUCUGAGCUGAAAUUCUAGAGAAAUUCAGAAUAGAUCCACCUUUCUGUUCCUUUUAGGGCUAAAACUACCAGUUAGUGAUUCAUUAGCAGAUUAUUUUUAUUGUUUUAUCUUUGGUUGUUCAGCCAGAAACUCAGUGAACCUUCUGGACUUCAUCUACAACUAGACUAAAAAUCUGUCCAUCGCUGUGGGGGAUUUCUGAAAGCAAAACUGGAAAAAAUCAUUCUAAAAUCAUUUUAGUUUAGGUUUAUUCCAUCUGAAAUACUAUUUUUCAUCCAGAUACUUGGAGUUUUAAAUGUUUAUUACAUAUUAAGUACUACGUUUUGUCAAGAUGCUCGUAGUUUUUAGGUUUUAUUCCACCUAAAAUACUACUUUCUGUCUAAAAUAAUUUCAGUUUUUACGGUUUAUUCCUCCAAAAUAAUACUUUCUGUCCAGGUGGUUCACCUGCUGCCCUGCAGAGGACGGGAAGGACCUGCAACAGGUGGUGAGAGCAUCAGAGCAGGUGACUGGGACCACACUACCUCCCCUCAGAGACAUUUACACCAGCAGAGUUCAGAGUGGCGGAUCUUCCGUGGGGACAGUGCCCCUCCUGUGAUCUGAUUGGCCACCCCGUGUGCCCCCCCAAAACUUUUCGUUGAAAAUUUACUGAAACGCCAACGCUCCUGAACGCAACUUCCUUGUCCGACUGCAAGUGAAUGCACCAAUGACGUCAGUUUGAUCUUGUGAUUGUAUUCCGUUUGGAUUUGAAGAAGCUUUCAAGACGUUUCCUGAUGCAGGAGGAGCAGACGAACAGUUUUGGACCUUUGCGAGUGAAAGUAGCAGUUCCUCCUGAAGGUCAGAGAUUGCAGCAUCUGAGGGCCUCUUCAAAAGAAGAUGUAGUUGAUGAAGACGUUCUGGAGCAGGACCAGAAAGACCACGACCAAGCAGCCUUGAGAUCUUAGACAGCGUCUCCCUCAGGUCCCUCUCUAUCUCCCUACACAUCCACCAACCACUGGAACACAUCUCCAAAGUUCUGCUGGACCAGCUCAGCUUCCCCUCAGAAGAAGUGCUGCCACCUGCCAGAUGAAGGAGCCUUUUGAGAGGCAGCUGGCAUCAUGAUUGGACUGUACUUUGGUCUGUUCCAAUCCAGCUUCAGCUCCAGAGACGGCAGGCGGGACGAGUCAACGGAGGCCUGGUGGACGAAGGCAUGCAGCUGAGUACAAUCCAGAAAACAACAGAGGAGGAGUGCAGCAGCCCAGAGCCAGAACAACCAGAGUAGCAUCGUAUGUCUCUUAGAAAACAUCAUAGUAGAGCCUUUGGUAUGAAAAAACACCAUCAUAUACAUCGUAUAUUGUACAAAUAACAAGUUAAAGGAAAGAGACAUACAUUGUAGAAUUGUAGUAAUUGUGGGCUGACUGAUUUACUGAUUAGCAGUAUUUUAUUUUUUACUGAUUUACAGUAAUAAAUACAUUUAAAAAUGGUGCUACUUUGGCUCUGAACCUUUAUCUACCUGUGGUCGCUCUGUCUUCUAGAGUGAUUUGAUUGGUUAUACGUCACGAAUAAAACUCCUUUAACUUAACAUCUGUAAACAAAACAAAAACCUAUCAACAAAGUUUUCUGUUAGUUUGUGUUCUUCAAAGUUUAACUCCAAGAUUUUAAAUACUUUCAUUUACUGCAAAUGAAUAUCUACUCCAAAUGUCUCACUAAUAAUCAUUACCAGCCUUAAAAACCCACAAAACACCCCUCUAUACUGGACCACACUUAGUACAGUCCGGUUCCCCCUUCUAUAAAUCUGCUUGGAGUCUUCCACUUCCUGUUUGUCAAAGUGGCCUUCUACCUGGAAAGGUUUUGUUGGAGCUCAUGCAACAAACAUUUUAGGUAACUGCACUUUAAUAUGGAUGGAUGACACUGAAUUAGAGUCUGUUUUAAUGAGACUGAGUUAAGAUGUGUAGCUCUGUCAUUAAAUAGGAAAUUAUUUCUCAGAAUUCACAGAGAAAAGUCUGAAAUGUUUGCUAGGUUAGCGUCCCACAUGUUCUUUGGCUCAGCUAAAGCUAACUCUCUCCAACUUCUGGAUCUCUUGAGUUGCUUGUUGUUAAAAUAUCUUGCUAGAGGUGCUGAAGCUCAGAAAGUCUGAGAUGUUUGUUCAGAAUAAGCUCAUUCUCAAGUCUUAUCUAAACUGUCCUCUUUUGUUUGAACUUUCCCUAAACUUAGGAGUUAAUGACAGAGCAGCACAUCCAGACUCAGUCUCAUUUAUGUAGAGAUUAAACUUCAGUGUCAUUCAUUGAUGUUAAAGUGCAGUUUUUCAAAUGUUUGUUGCACAUGCUCCUGACCAAACCAGUCCAGGUGGAAGACGAUGUGAAGAGAAAGCUCCAGAGGAUGAAUAUCACACAUUUACGUUGGAAAUAAAUGUACUUUAAUUAGACAUUGUCAUGCAAAAGUUGGAUUUCCCUUUAAUGAUGUUCAAAUCUUUGUUGAGUGUUUUGUUGAUGUUGUUUCUAAAUGUUUUCUGACACUCGGCCCCAAAGAUUAAAACCUUUUACGGCUCACAAGCUGCAACAAUUCACACAUUAUCAACUAUCUUUCUGACUAAACUAAGAUAAAAAGUGAAAAACUGCCUGA